rnacentral:rRNA from 1 species
AUCAACGCUGGCGGCGUGCCUCAGACAUGCAAGUCGAACGAUUAAAGCUCUCUUCGGAGAGUGCAUAGAGUGGCGCACGGGUGAGUAACACGUAAGUAAUCUGCCUUUGAGUGGGGAAUAACAGUCGGAAACGAUUGCUAAUACCGCAUAACGCAGCGGCACCGCAAGGUGACAGUUGUUAAAGGAGCAAUCCGCUUAAAGAGGAGCUUGCGGCAGAUUAGCUUGUUGGUAAGGUAACGGCUUACCAAGGCUACGAUCUGUAUCCGGUCUAAGAGGACGGUCGGACACACUGACACUGAAUAACGGGUCAGACUCCUACGGGAGGCAGCAGUCGGGAAUUUUGGGCAAUGGGGG